GUUUUUCGCACGUUUUUGACAUUUGUAAUUUUUGACCCAAAGUGCCGAUUUUGCAUGGGCUAUAGCCUUUGC